rnacentral:rRNA from 1 species
GACGAACGCUGGCGGCGUGCUUAACACAUGCAAGUCGAACGGUAAGGCCCUUCGGGGUACACGAGUGGCGAACGGGUGAGUAACACGUGGGUGAUCUGCCCUGCACUUCGGGAUAAGCCUGGGAAACUGGGUCUAAUACCGGAUAGGACUCCUGCCUGCAUGGGUGGGGGUGGAAAGCUUUUGCGGCGUGGGAUGGGCCCGCGGCCUAUCAGCUUGUUGGUGGGGUGAUGGACUACCAAGGCGACGACGGGUAGCCGGCCUGAGAGGGUGACCGGCCACACUGGGACUGAGAUACGGCCCAGACUCCUACGGGAGGCAGCAGUGGGGAAUAUUGCACAAUGGGCGCAAGCCUGAUGCAGCGACGCCGCGUGAGGGAUGACGGCCUUCGGGUUGUAAACCUCUUUCAGCACAGACGAAGCGCAAGUGACGGUAUGUGCAGAAGAAGGACCGGCCAACUACGUGCCAGCCGCCGCAGUAA